rnacentral:lncRNA from 1 species
CCGUCUUCAUUAAACAGUAUUAACCCAAAACGUGUAAAUUUUUAACAUGAAUCAAACCUUAGCUACAACACAUUGUUUCAUUAAAGUUUCUAAAAAAACAUGCUUAACAAUUACAUUAAACAAAACAAUAACAGAAAUUCAAAACAGACGGGACCAUUGUUGCUUCCUUCCAUAACAAUUACUCCCAUCAUUGAAUCAGAACCUUGUCCUAAAGGAUCAAAUUUUGGAUAUUUCUGCUGAAAGUCCUGCAAGG